rnacentral:rRNA from 1 species
UACGUAGGGUGCGAGCGUUGUCCGGAAUUAUUGGGCGUAAAGAGCUUGUAGGCGGUUUGUCGCGUCUGCCGUGAAAAUCCGGGGCUCAACCCCGGACUUGCGGUGGGUACGGGCAGACUAGGGUGUGGUAGGGGAGACUGGAAUUCCUGGUGUAGCGGUGAAAUGCGCAGAUAUCAGGAGGAACACCGGUGGCGAAGGCGGGUCUCUGGGCCGAUACUGACGCUGAGGAGCGAAAGCGUGGGGAGCGAACAGG